UGUUUACAGAGAUGUGGAUUUACAUAACUUGGCAACGUUUUUUAAAUGUACAGGCCAUUUCAUAUUAUUGCACUUACUCUUUUAAUAUAUAAGGCAUUUUUUUACAUAAAUAAAGAAUAAUGUAUAAUGCAAUACCAUUAGUGUUCACUGCAGGAAGUGUGGGGAUUUAUUAGACUAAUUAGCAACACUAGUCAUGCCUCGAACACUGAACACAAAUAAAUAGCUUUCUAUCUCAGGGUCAGAGACGGGGCUAGCUCUUGCUUCUUCCCUUAC
rnacentral:lncRNA from 1 species